ensembl:snRNA U6 U6 spliceosomal RNA
GCGCUCACUUUAGCAGCACAUAUACUAGAGUUGGAACAAUACAGAAGUGAGCGUGGUUGCUGCACAAGGAUGACAUGCGAAUUACUGAAGUGUUCCAUAUUAAA